rnacentral:misc_RNA from 1 species
GUAGGUCCAAAUACUCGAUCGUAUGCAUACGCAACCGACGGAUUAUGCUCACUCCGGACGAUUGUAUCCCCAUCCGCAUACCAAGCAAUCUCCUCGCCCUGCCGAAUCUCACGCUGGCUGAGCGGUCGGAACCGGACGGUGACAGUCACGCUCUCCUUGGAUCCCUCCGCGUCCAGCGCCGGGCUGUCCUCGUAGAAGGACCGCAUCUUGCUCGGCGCGGAGGACGCCGGCGAGCUCUGCCCGUCCGCCGACAAUGAUGCCG